rnacentral:rRNA from 1 species
CCUACGGGAGGCAGCAGUGGGGAAUUUUGGACAAUGGGGGCAACCCUGAUCCAGCCAUGCCGCGUGAGUGAAGAAGGCCUUCGGGUUGUAAAGCUCUUUCGGCCGGAACGAAAUCGCGCACGUGAAUAACGUGCGUGGAUGACGGUACCGGAGUAAGAAGCACCGGCUAACUACGUGCCAGCAGCCGCGGUAAUACGUAGGGUGCGAGCGUUAAUCGGAAUUACUGGGCGUAAAGCGUGCGCAGGCGGUUCGCUAAGUCAGACGUGAAAGCCCCGGGCUUAACCUGGGAACGGCGUUUGAAACUGGCGGGCUCGAGUACGGCAGAGGGGGGUGGAAUUCCACGUGUAGCAGUGAAAUGCGUAGAUAUGUGGAGGAACACCGAUGGCGAAGGCAGCCCCCUGGGCCGAUACUGACGCUCAUGCACGAAAGCGUGGGGAGCAAACAGGAUUAGAUACCCUGGUAGUCCACGCCCUAAACUAUGUCAACUAGUUGUCGGGGAAGCAAUUCCUUGGUAACGCAGCUACGACGUGAGUAGACGCCGUGGGAGGUACGGUCGCGAGAUAAACUACAAGAAGUAGACGCGNGAGAGNGCGACGCGACGACGAGGGAGAG